UGGUUGACUUUCGGUGGAGGAACUGAACUGGUGAUCAGAACUGGUCCCGCAGUGAAGCCCUCCGUGUCUCUGCUGCCGCCCUCUUCUCUGCAGAUCUCUGGAGACUCAGCCGCACUGCUCUGCCUGCUCAGCUCUUACUCUCCACAGGGGGCGACGGUGAGCUGGACGCUGGACGGGUCAGAGGUCACCGAGGGGGUUCAGACCAGCGCAGAGAGCGAGCGGGACGGACGCUACAGCCGCAGCAGCGUCCUGAGCCUCAGCAAAGCACGCUGGGAAGGCGCGGAUCGCUUCGUCUGCAGAGUAAGACAUGACGGAGCUGAUCACGAGGCCUCGUUCCUCAAGAGCUCCGAGUGCUGAUGUUUCUCCAGUCGAGACGAGCCGUAUCUGAGCGUCCGGCAGGAUUCACGGCAGUCACGUGAUUUACAGCUCAAUACUGAAGCAGUCUUUCAAUGUGCUGCCAUUGCUGUUCAUUCAAUAAAGCUUCUGAACGCGUUACAUUUGUGUCCGACUGCAUCAUUGAUCAGUGUGUCGUUCAUUCAAAGUCCUGCACUAAAGUUUCAGCUGCUUUUGAUUGAUUGUAAUAGUUGAGAACAGCUGCAUUUAGCAGUAAAUGUCAAAUGAAGCUCUUGGGGUUUGAACAUGGUCACUGGAGACGGAGCUGCUCUAUUCUGAGAGGAUCACAAUCACUAAACCUGCCAAUGCAAAUGUGAUUUUCACCUCAAACUCACAGUUUCACUCUUUGAUUGGUUCAUCGCUCUCAACUGGAACACUUUCACUUCUGCUCAUGAGAAAUUUUUUUCCUGUGUUUGUCCUCUGUGUGUCAGUAGUGUGUGAUAGUGUUUGAGCAGCUGCAGUAUCAGUUCAGUCACUCUGACUCUGUUCAGUCAACCUGCCAUACCAAACAAGACCACAGGGAGAUACAAACGGACUGAAUUUAAAUACUAUGCAGAUCCAUUAAAAAUUAUUAAACACAUAUAACACCACUGAUCCUUUCAAACUUCUCCAAAACACACUUGUUCGGCGAGCAUCCGUUAUUAAACACUCACAGUAGAUUAAUUUUGACAACUACGUGAAUACAUUGAACUGUGUUCAUGCAGAAAUAUGAUGUUAUAGCGAUCUGUGAGUCGAGAGCACAAAUGUGCGGUUUGUUUGCACAUCAAUAAUAUCAGACUCGCGCAUGCCUUGUGUACGACUCCUGUAUGUCACUGUAAUCGUCUUUACCUUCAUUACAAACUGACGCUGGUUUUCUUUUUCCAACUGAGAGAGUUUGCGUUUUGAGCCACCGUUCAGUCUGUAUUUCACAGCAGCACGAUGAGAAACUGCCUGGGCUGAACCGAAACAAUCACAGAAUACAUACGAGAGAGGUGGUGCCUUGUUUUAAAUGUAUUUUUUAAUUAACUUAAUUUAGCUUUUUAAUGUAAUGUAUUACUAAUUAAAUUAAUGAAUUAUAUUAAUAUAUUUAAAUUAAGUUUAAGUUAUCUCGCGGCCCACCUGGAGGAUCACUGAGGACCCCUAGAUGGCCGUGGCACACAGGUUGAAAACCACUGGCCUAGAACAAACCGCACGAAACUCGGAGCAACUUUCCUGAAAAAAUUAGUGUUUCAAAUUAAUCAUUUGAGUGACGACAGUCUGGGGCUGUGUUUCACAUCGAUUUUACACACUUGCGAACUUCCCUAAGCAUUUCCCCUUAGGAAAGCAUCCCCAGCGCGCCGCCAUUUUGAAGUGCGUUCUACUUAGUGGACAAGUUUAUAUGGACAGACCCUCGAGCCCUCAAUUUUUACUGAGGGAGUGAGUCUACUUCAUAUGUACACUUCAGGCAGAUCCAUAGACCACAAUGCAACAUGAUUGUGACGUCACCACAGAACGUGUUUAAUUUACCCCCACCACAAUCAACUCUAUGAUAUUUUAAUUUAUUUAUUUAUUUUUUUUUAUAUUUAAAACAACCCAAACACACCUAUGUACAUAUAGAAUGCUGCAAUAAAAACAAAUGCAUUUGGUAAAAAAUUUAAAUAAUAAAUCAACUCCAUCCACCAGUAGUGGGCAACGUGAGCAUAACGUACAUCCGAGUCAACGAGACUGAGGGGAGUUAGUGAGGGAAGGGCGAAUCAGAUGUUUUGAACGAAUCAGAUGAGUAAAUGAUGUGUCUUGUCACCAUCUACUGGUGUAACUUGCAGAAAGAGUUUGCUGUAAAAUCACCAGCAUUAAUGCUGCACAUUUGUUGUGUGUUCAUGAUAGAGGAUCUGUUUCUGUCACGAGACUCGAGCUCUAAGUACAUCAGGACUUCUGCAAUGAAUUAAAAUGAACAUACAGGAGGAGAUGGAGGGAUGGAGGAGGAAUAUUCUCACUGGAGUGAUAUGAACUACUGCCACUGACUCUAGAUGGAGUUCCACUGUUACGGUCUGUUGCUCGAUAUAUGAGGGGUUUAGGAGCUUCUCCAGGUUUCUGUAAGUACCAGCUCAGACCGGGUUGUCCAUUACUAUAACAGCAGUUCACAUCACUGCUAAAUUUACAGUUUAUAGUGACUGAUUGUCCAGUUUGAGAGAGCAGCUCUGAGGGAGUUUGAGUCCCACAUAGAAGGCAACGUUCUCAGGACCUUGCGCAACGUUCCCUAAAAGUUCUCUAAAGGUGACGAAAAUUCCGAACCUUUACAGAACAUUCGGGACGUUCCUAAAAUGUCCUCUUUUGGUAAUGAAAGUGCUGCAGUUCAAGGUUCCUUAUAUGACUUUAGGGGGACGUUCCAUUUUGGUUAUUUUAUGGUCACAUAAGAACGUUACAAAGAGGAUAUUUGGGACAUUAACAGAACGUUCCCACACGGUCCUCUGUUGGUCAUUUAAUAACGUUCCCGAUAUGAGUUUGUUCUAUUUUGGUUAUUUUAUGGUUGCACGAGAACGUUACAAAGAGGACAUUUGGGAAGUUAUCAGAACGUUCUAUAGCAAUAGUCCCCUAAACAUUUCCAGAACGUCCUGAAUGAUCCCUGAAGGUCCACCAAAUAACGUCCCCCAAACCUUAAAAGAACUCCACAUCAUGACCGUCUCUGAACGUUCUGGGAACGUUACCACAUGACAGGUUAGAUGCUGAAAAUAAAAUACGUUUGAAGUCACCGUUAUGGAGGUGAGCGUUUGCUUUAGAUGUGCUCUUGAUUCUUGACUUUUUAAACAAUAGAUUUUGUCUGGCUGCUUUAACUGUGUUUCCAGAACGUGUUUGUUUAUUUGGUUGUUUAGUGAUGAUUCAAUCAUCAUGGAGUGUCCUGAUUCACUGAUUUUCUCCUGAGUCUUAACUAACAGUUUUGAAUUAAUUAAUUGUUGGUGUUUUUUUUUUUUUAAUUCAUUAUACAAAAAUCUUUUUUAAAUCUUUUUUGUGACUUUAGAAGCUUGUUUUGUGAAGCUCAGAGUUACUGUUUAUCUGAAAAUUUUGUCACCAUUGUUGAGGUUCAUACGCAAAGUCUGUGUGUGUCCACGUGAUCCUGUCUGAAUAAUAACUUAAAAACUUUAAAAAUAUCAAAACAGAACAGGAAGUUAUGCAGUAUUUUAGGGCUACAGUAACAUGAAAACAACAUAAUACUCAGAGAUCAGUGAAUAAGGCCACUGUAUGGUGAAACCAUCAACAAUAGACAACCAAAUUCAUUUGAUCCAAUCUUUUUUUUUUUUUUUUGCAACAAAUGUUUAGAAACACAGUUACAACAGUUGGAUAAAAACUAAAGUUAAAUGUCAAGGGUCAGGAACCCAACUAAAGCAAACGCUUACCUCCAUAUCAGUGACUUCAAACUUUAUAAUUUUCUAUAAAACCUCAACAUCUAAAUAAGUUUUGAAUGAAAGAAAUUGGUUUGUAAUAAGUGAAGAUGCUGAGAUCUAGAGAGAUCUGUUAGUGUUUAAUGUUCUGUUUGUUAUCUGAGUUUUGUGAGAUCAUCAUUGUGCUGGAGAGUAGAGCCUGUGCUUCAGUCGAUGAUCCAGAAACACUGACGUUCUGCUGCAUGUUGCUUUAUUUAAAGACAGUAACUGUGUAGUUGCUGAUGCAGUGAUACAGUAGUUACAUUAGCUUAUGCAUGUGCUGUUGUCAGCUAAUGAUUUACUGCAAGAGGUUUGUACUUUACAGAAAAGGUUUCAUAAUAAUCCAGAAAAUACCAGUAAAGUGUUUUUUUUUUUUUUUUUUUUUUUUUGUGAGAAAAAUUUGUCUGAAAAGUCACUUUUGUUAAUCAAUUUAGCACUAAUUUUCAAUAGAAUUUUUGACAAGAGCAACAUCACAUUUCCAAAUAAAAUAUGGUUUCCUAAAUGUUCAGAGAACAUCCUGAAUGUUCUGUGAAGGUCCACCAAAUAACGUCCCCCAACCCUUAAAGGAACUCCACAUAUGACAGAACCCAUUGAGGUUACCUAUGUAGGUACUACCUUGGACCCAUGUAGGGCAGCCUAUAUGGACUGAUGUCUAACCCGUUUGUUAAACCCAUAUGGGCCCCAUUUGUGUUGCCCAUUUUGAGCCCAUGCACUCAUUUCCAAUUAGUAACCCAGCUAGGACCCACAUAGGGAUAAGAUGACCAUUUUAGGACCAUGCCCACUUGGUGCCCAUGUAGCCCAAGCAUAAACCAUGUGGGGUCCACAUAUACAUGUUGGCCGGGUAGAGUGUUUAUUUAAAUAUGCCUCAUAACAGGUUUAGAUCCUACUAAAAACAUUUCCUUUCUCAAUUCAUCAUUGAGCAAGAAAAAUCAAAAUUCCUUCACUUAUGUAUAAUUAUUUUUUAUGCCGAUGGAGGUGGACAUUAUCACAUUUUUAUUUUAUUUUUUGUGCUGGACUGUGGACACUCAUAAGUCAGUUUUGAGCACAUGUGUAGUUCCUGUGUUUGUCCUCUGUGUGUCAGUAGUGUGUGAAAGUGUGUGAGUAGCUGCAGUAUCAGUUCAGUCACUGUGACUCUGACUGACAGAGGUUUUUGUACGACUCUUUAUCACUGUGUGAACACAUCUUUACUGUUGAUUUCAUGGUAACUCUGACAGUAAUAAUGUCCAGCAUCUUCAGUCUGGACUCCACUGAUGGUCAGAGUGAAAUCACUGUUAGAUCCACUGCCACUGAAUCUAGAUGGAGUUCCUGACUCGAGGGUGUUUGCUAAAUAAAUCAGGAGUUUAGGAGCUUCUCCAGGUUUCUGUAAGUACCAGGCUACAUAAUCAUCAGAACCAUCAUUGAACACAUCUCUGCUGGUUUUACAGUUGAUGUUCACAGUUUGUUCUUGAGCUGCUGUCACUGA